rnacentral:tRNA from 1 species
AUUUUAUUAGUAUAUAAAGUAUGUUUGUUUUCCAAACAAAAGGUUUAGUAAGUCUAAAUAAAAUA